rnacentral:rRNA from 1 species
CCUACGGGGUGCAGCAGUAGGGAAUAUUGCUCAAUGGGGGAAACCCUGAAGCAGCAACGCCGCGUGGAGGAUGAAGGUUUUCGGAUUGUAAACUCCUUUUGUUAGGGAAGAUAAUGACGGUAUCUAACGAAUAAGCACCGGCUAACUCCGUGCCAGCAGCCGCGGUAAUACGGAGGGUGCAAGCGUUACUCGGAAUCACUGGGCGUAAAGAGCGCGUAGGCGGGAUAGCAAGUCAGAUGUGAAAUCCUAUGGCUUAACCAUAGAACUGCAUUUGAAACUGUUAUUCUAGAGUAUGGGAGAGGAAGGUGGAAUUCUUGGUGGAGGGGUAAAAUGCGUAGAGAUCAAGAGGAAUACUCAUUGCGAAGGCGGCCUGCUAGAACAUAACUGACGCUGAUGCGCGAAAGCGUGGGGAGCAAACAGGAUUAGAUACCCCUGUAGUC